CCUACGGGCGGCAGCAGUAGGGAAUAUUGCUCAAUGGGGGAAACCCUGAAGCAGCAACGCCGCGUGGAGGAUGAAGGUUUUCGGAUUGUAAACUCCUUUUGUUAGAGAAGAUAAUGACGGUAUCUAACGAAUAAGCACCGGCUAACUCCGUGCCAGCAGCCGCGGUAACACGGAGGGUGCAAGCGUUACUCGGAAUCACUGGGCGUAAGGAGCGCGUAGGCGGGAUAGCAAGUCAGAUGUGAAAUCCUAUGGCUUAACCAUAGAACUGCAUUUGAAACUGUUAUUCUAGAGUAUGGGAGAGGUAGGUGGAAUUCUUGGUGUAGGGGUAAAAUCCGUAGAGAUCAAGAGGAAUACUCAUUGCGAAGGCGACCUGCUAGAACAUAACUGACGCUGAUGCGCGAAAGCGUGGGGAGCAAACAGGAUUAGAUACCCGAGUAGUC
rnacentral:rRNA from 1 species